rnacentral:rRNA from 1 species
UACGAAGGGGGCUAGCGUUGUUCGGAUUUACUGGGCGUAAAGCGCGUGUAGGCGGACUUGUAAGUUGGGGGUGAAAUCCCGAGGCUCAACCUCGGAACUGCCUCCAAAACUACAAGUCUGGAGCAAGAUAGAGGCAAGUGGAAUUGCGAGUGUAGAGGUGAAAUUCGUAGAUAUUCGCAGGAACACCAGUGGCGAAGGCGACUUGCUGGAUCUUUGCAGACGCUGAGACGCGAAAGCGUGGGGAGCAAACAGG